rnacentral:rRNA from 1 species
AUACGUAGGGGGCGAGCGUUGUCCGGAAUUACUGGGCGUAAAGGGUGCGUAGGCGGAAUGUCAAGUCAGAUGUGAAAUACCCGGGCUUAACCCGGGGGCUGCAUUUGAAACUGACAUCCUUGAGUGCAGGAGAGGCAAGUGGAAUUCCUAGUGUAGCGGUGAAAUGCGUAGAUAUUAGGAGGAACACCGGUGGCGAAGGCGACUUGCUGGACUGUACCUGCCGCUGAGGCACGAAAGCGUGGGGAGCAAACAGGAUUAGAUACCCUGGUAGUCCACGCCGUAAACGUUGGAUACUAGGUGUGGGGUCCGAUAGGAUUCCGUGCCGCAGCAAACGCAAUAAGUAUCCCGCCUGGGGAGUACGAUCGCAAGGUUGAAACUCAAAUGAAUUGGCGGGG